rnacentral:rRNA from 1 species
UACGAAGGGGGCUAGCGUUGUUCGGAAUUACUGGGCGUAAAGCGCGCGCAGGCGGUCUUCCAAGUCAGUGGUGAAAGCCCGGAGCUCAACUCCGGAACUGCCAUUGAAACUGUAAGACUUGAGGAUGAGAGAGGUGAGUGGAAUUCCCAGUGUAGAGGUGAAAUUCAUAGAUAUUGGGAAGAACACCGGUGGCGAAGGCGGCUCACUGGCUCAUAUCUGACGCUCAGGCGCGACAGCGUGGGGAUCAAACAGG